rnacentral:rRNA from 1 species
AUUGAACGCUGGCGGCAUGCCUUACACAUGCAAGUCGAACGGCAGCACGGGAGCAAUCCUGGUGGCGAGUGGCGAACGGGUGAGUAAAGUAUCGGAACGUGCCCAGUCGUGGGGGAUAACGUAGCGAAAGUUACGCUAAUACCGCAUACGAUCUAUGGAUGAAAGCGGGGGAUCGCAAGACCUCGCGCGAUUGGAGCGGCCGAUAUCAGAUUAGGUAGUUGGUGGGGUAGAGGCUCACCAAGCCGACGAUCUGUAGCCGGUCUGAGAGGACGACCAGCCACACUGGGACUGAGACACGGCCCAGACUCCUACGGGAGGCAGCAGUGGGGAAUUUUGGACAAUGCGCGAAAGCCUGAUCCAGCCAUGCCGCGUGCAGGAUGAAGGCCUUCGGGUUGUAAACUGCUUUUGUACGGAGCGAAAAGGUUUGGCCUAAUAAGCUGAGCUCAUGACGGUACCGUAAGAAUAAGCACCGGCUAACUACGUGCCAGCCGCCGCGGUAA